AGCUAGUUGGUGAGGUAAUGGCUCACCAAGGCAAUGACACCUAACUGGUUUGAGAGGAUGAUCAGUCACACUGGAACUGAGACACGGUCCAGACUCCUACGGGAGGCAGCAGUGGGGAAUAUUGCACAAUGGACGAAAGUCUGAUGCAGCAACGCCGCGUGGAGGAUGACACAUUUCGGUGCGUAAACUCCUUUUAUAUAGGAAGAUAAUGACGGUACUAUAUGAAUAAGCACCGGCUAACUCCGUGCCAGCAGCCGCGGUAAUACGGAGGGUGCAAGCGUUACUCGGAAUUACUGGGCGUAAAGAGCGUGUAGGCGGUAAAUAAGUUGGAAGUGAAAUCCUAUGGCUCAGCCAUAGAACUGCUUCCAAAACUGUUAACCUAGAAUGUGGGAGAGGUAGAUGGAAUUUCUGGUGUAGGGGUAAAAUCCGUAGAUAUCAGAAGGAAUACCGAUUGCGAAGGCGAUCUACUGGAACAUAAUUGACGCUGAGACGCGAAAGCGUGGGGAGCAAACAGGAUUAGAUACCCUGGUAGUCCACGCCCUAAACGAUGUACACUAGUUGUUGUGAGGCUAGACCUUGCAGUAAUGCAGUUAACACAUUAAGUGUACCGCCUGGGGAGUACGGUCGCAAGAUUAAAACUCAAAGGAAUAGACGGGGACCCGCACAAGCGGUGGAGCAUGUGGUUUAAUUCGACAUACGCGAAGAACCUUACCUGGUCUUGACAUAGAAAGAACUUUCCAGAGAUGGAUUGGUGCCUGCUUGCAGGAGCUUUCAUACAGGUGCUGCACGGCUGUCGUCAGCUCGUGUCGUGAGAUGUUGGGUUAAGUCCCGCAACGAGCGCAACCCUCGUCGUUAGUUGCUAACAGUUCGGCUGAGAACUCUAACGAGACUGCCUACGCAAGUAGGAGGAAGGUGAGGACGACGUCAAGUCAUCAUGGCCCUUACGACCAGGGCUACACACGUGCUACAAUGGGGUAUACAAAGAGCAGCGAUACGGUGACGUGGAGCGAAUCUCAAAAAUGCCUCCCAGUUCGGAUAGUAGUCUGCAACUCGACUACUUGAAGUUGGAAUCGCUAGUAAUCGUAGAUCAGCUAUGCUACGGUGAAUACGUUCCCGGGUCUUGUACUCACCGCCCGUCACACCAUGGGAGUUGAAUUCAUUCGAAGCGGGGAUGCUAAAAUAGCUACCUUCCACAGUGGAUUUAGCGACUGGGGUGAAGUCGAAACAAGGUAACCGUAGGAGAACCUGCGGUUG
rnacentral:rRNA from 1 species